UGGUUUAGACCACACACAGAUUACAGUAUGUGUUAUACCACACAGCUGUUGCUGCUCAUUGAUCAUUGGUUUACUAAUGCCAUAAAAUCCCUCCCUAACCUCCUUCUGCUGAUCUGUAGCAUGGAAGAACAAGUUGAAGGCAUAUUCUCAUCAGGAAAUGAAUCCUCAUCUCAUUAUUCAGGUGUACGUCUCUGAAGAAACCCAUGUUUUUCCAAGCAUGGCCUGUUGCCAAUCCCAGGUCUGUAACCACUGAAAAAUGAACACGAUGAGAAUAUGAAAAAAACCCAG